CAGUCGCCGCGGUAAUACGUAGGUGGCAAGCGUUGUCCGGAAUUAUUGGGCGUAAAGGGCUCGCAGGCGGUUUAUUAAGUCUGAUGUGAAAGCCCACGGCUCAACCGUGGAGGGUCAUUGGAAACUGGAAAACUUGAGUGCAGAAGAGGAAAGUGGAAUUCCAUGUGUAGCGGUGAAAUGCGCAGAGAUAUGGAGGAACACCAGUGGCGAAGGCGACUUUCUGGUCUGUAACUGACGCUGAUGUGCGAAAGCGUGGGGAUCAAACAGGAUUAGAUACCCGAGUAGUCCCUGUCUCUUAUAC
rnacentral:rRNA from 1 species